UACAGAGGCCUCGAGCGUUAGGCGGAAUCACUGGGCUUAAAGCGUGUGUAGGCGGAUUGGUAAGUACCUUGUGAAAUCCCACAGCUUAACUGUGGAACUGCUCGGUAUACUGCUGAUCUUGAGCCACUCAGGGGCUACCGGAACAAAUGGUGGAGCGGUGAAAUGCGUAGAUAUCAUUUGGAACGCCAAUGGUGAAAACAGGUAGCUGGGAGUGUGCUGACGCUGAGACACGAAAGCCAGGGGAGCAAACGGG
rnacentral:rRNA from 1 species